UAGGCCGUUCUGUGAGCAACUCUUGGUAUAAUUGGUUGCAAUGGCGAUAUCACAAGCUCUUCAUGGAUAUGUGACGAUGGUUCGGGUUACAGGUCUUCCCGUUACUCAUCAAGAAGUUUUCACACGAAGAGCAAGCAAAUUUAGUAUGGCAGUUCUUAUGUAGCAUCCCUGUAAACAUGAUGGCAAAAUUUCUUCCAUGGAUUUCUGCUUCUGUUUCUACAGAUGAGAAUCAAGAUAUUCUUGACUGCCUAAGUAAAAUAGUUCCUGAAGAAAAAUUCCUCCAAGAGGUCCUCAUGAUUAUGGCAUCAUACAUCUUAACUUCCCAUUUGUAAAGUUAUUGGCAUAUUUCACUUCAGUUUUUUACUUUGUGAAGGUUGUUUUCACGUGGUUUGGAGGGAAAUCAGAAAGCAGUUCUACAUGUGAGUCUAGCUCUGGUCAAUGUGACGUUUUUUUGCUACAGUGGUGUUAUGGUGAAACAGAGUUUUGUGUGUAUGUACCAACAGCUAAAAUGUAAAUACGAUAUUAUCAUAGUUGAGUACAGGAAUAAUUAUCUCUUAUAUCUUAUUGCAAAAUCUGAAACAGUUCUCCUGUA